AUGAGGAUGAGAAGACUGUUGUCCGGCUGCAGGAGAAGCGGCAGAAGGAGCUCUGGAAUCUCCUGAAGAUUGCUUGUAGCAAGGUCCGUGGUCCUGUCAGUGGAAGCCCGGAUAGCAUGAAUGCCUCUCGACUUAGCCAGCCUGGGCAGCUGAUGUCUCAGCCCUCCACGGCCUCCAACAGCUUACCUGAGCCAGCCAAGAAGAGGUAGGUCCUCCUUAGCAGUGCCAAGUGUGACCAUCAAGGGCACGUCAGGAGAUCGGGGAUGGAGGCGUUUGUCACUGGUAAAUGUCUGUCUGAUGGUAUUACCACCUCUCUGGAUGUUUGUUGCAUCUGCUGGGUCCUGUGGGGACAAAAGUGAUACAUGUUUGGCUCUCAUAGUCCCUUGAAACUUACUAACUAGUUUCUUUGUCCAAGGCUUGGAUGACUAACUGCUUAAUGAGAACAUUGGAAAUGCUGGUCAGGCACAUGCUGUUACCCUUUAUCCAUAGGAAGCCACAUUCCCUUCAGGGAGGCCCUGAAGCCCUCUGCCCCCACUCACCCUACCAGUACCUUGAGUUACCGAGUCACCACCCUCC
rnacentral:lncRNA from 1 species